rnacentral:lncRNA from 1 species
AUGUAUGAUUUUGUUCCCUAUUUAGUGAAUAGGGGAGGCCUUCUGUUCCAUUUUGUUACUCUAUAUAGAUCAGGGUUCUCCCCAGAAAUUUUUAGUGUAGCGGCGCACCGUCUGUCGUGUGGGGGGGGGGAGACACGGACGGACAGACAGACGGUCAUCAACUCCGUCAGCCGGGGGACGGACGAACGGACGCUCCACCGUCUGGGGAGAACCCUGUAGAUUAUACAGUGUUAGCUAGGGGCUAAAAUACAAACAAAUUUCCACAUUUAAUUCAUAAAAUGUCUAAAAAAAUCUUCGUAGGUGUGAUGAGAGCAGACAAAAAACACUUUUGAGGGACGGCACGAUAAGUGUAAACGAGCGGCAGAAAAAGACAGUGAUGCUGGAAUUGUCCUUCAGUGGCAAGAUGCAGUAUGUGUUCAUUAAAGAAAUACUAUGUAGAGACGUAGCAGAGAGUGUCAAAAGUACAAACGUUGAGUGUGGGACUAGUGUUUCAUAUGAAUGUCAGUUAACUUUGAUUUCUGUCUGCCUAAUCUUCAGUGCAGUUCAUUGUUGGUCCGCUCACACCCGCUAAUCACAGCACACUUACUAAAUGUGAAAACUUCACUGAAUUAGUCAGUGGGUUGACUUUAUUUUGUUUCACCUUCAGGUGCUACAACUCCAGAAAAUGUCUCGGUGGUUAGAGGUUUGAUCCCAUCCACUGUCCCAUCCACUCUGAUUAUUUUGAGACAUUAUGAGACUCCUAAUAUAACUUUUAUGGUUAGUAACUUGACCUCUGACCUCCGUUGUUCCCCCUCUCCUGUUUUUUUGUCCCGUUACGCCAUGAGAAUGUGCCUUUUACACUGGCUAACUAGAAGUACUGGACUUGUCAAUUUAAUGUGUGUGUAACCAAAAUGCUAGCAGGAAAAAUCCUCCCUGAAAUCUGAAUUUCCAUGUGCCUGCUGUGAUCUGGGCCGUCAACAGCUCUCUCCGUCGUAGAAAUCCAGAAAGUCGAAACACUUCCUAAAUGACCUCAAGUUUUCGAGUUUGGCCAAUGGUCUAAUCCUCUACCACUGAGCUAACUAGAUAUUGGAUGAGGUAGCGAGCUACAGUAUCAAUUACUUUUAAGCCGCCCAGGGUGCUAGCUUUUUUUAUUUAAAAAAUAGUAAUAUCAGUAACAUCAGGAGAUUUUCCCUGAUCCUCCAUUUCUGCUGCCGUGGUGCACUGUUCGCUUGCUUGCUAAUUAGGUCUACUUGCUUAUGCAUUGUCCUCACUCACUAACUAGUUAGUUCACUACUCCACUAACUGCAGACAUUCUAAAGACGCCGUCAGUAAAAGAUGGCCGCUGACUUUCCAGUCAUCUGAGCUUGAUUCAAAACUAGAAAAAAGCAGAUCGUUAGACCGGGAAUGUCUUAUAUUCCCCAAUUUGCGGUCAGUGGAGUUGCUCUGAGACAUUUGAGGUGUUUCAUUCUGGAUAGGUGCUUACACUAACUCAGACCAGCCUCUUUCGAGUCACCACAGACAGUCUACACAGUAUCUACAGCUGGAAAUUGCUUAUGGAUGUGGUUGCCUGAUUACCAAACAAUAAUUCACCAUGUUCUAUGAGAUUUAAGUCUUUUUUUUCUCUUCACGUGUAGCUUUAUUACCCCUCCUUCCUGCCAGCAUUUAUAUUUUACUCUUUGAACAUGGUGAUAUGUUGUAAUCACUGGCAACCAUCACCAGAGCACUCGUGAAUUGUACAGUUGUCUGCUUCCGCUGUGCGAGGCCUCAUUCAGACCCGACCAGGCGUUGCGAUGAAAACACCAUUUACACUAAAUUUAUAAAAUCAUGGAUUUUCACAGACCGAACAAUGACGCUCUCCCAUUGGGUCCAACCGCAACGCCCACACAACCCUUUGCUAAAAAACACCGCAAUGCCUGAUGUGGUCUGAAACAAGCCUGAUGCAUGCAGCAAUGCACCUUACCGCACGUUCUCAUUUAAUACAACAGCGUUACUUCUUUUUGUACCUCCAGCGCUCUUCCAGACUUGUGAGAAGGAUGGUUUUGUUUUUUUGAGGAAUUUACUUGACUGAUUCUGUGUCUCUGCAUGCACGACUGCACAUUAUUUUAAGUGACGGUAUUAGCAGAGCUUAGCUCAAUUACUUCAUGUCAGUGGGUCCAAGUAGCAGCUCAGCUUGUGUAGUGUAAAGGAUUAUUUCCGUAGUUCUGUACAGCCACUAAGUCGACCCCAAAGACAUUUAGCAUUUGAGCUAAGCUGAGCUAAUUACGCUGUUUGACUUCAAGAUGCAUAGUAAGGUAAAGUCCUCUAAAAACCAAAUUAUCUUGUGAACACAACUUUCCCUGGGGAAAAAGUCCAGUUUGAGCAGAAAUGGCUAAAUGUUUACGUCACAGCAGGGAGACAUGCUAAUGUCUGUGAUGGGCGGGUUUUUCCUCCACCAACAUGUUUUCUGAUUUAUUUUUAUUUAUCAUCUGUGAGACCGUUUUGGCAACUCUGUGUAUGUGCGGAGUUUUCUGCGUGAUGUGUGUGUGUGUGUGUGUGUGCGCGCGCACAGAGUUUGUGCUGUAUAUAUGAAAAAGAUGCUACAGCUUUGUUGCAGCUCCGGCAUACUUUCUCUGUUGUUUUGAUUUAUUUAUUUUAGUUUUUUUCCCCAUGUGUAUAAGAUAACGCAGACCACCUGUCUCAACUGUUUGAAUCAUUUUCUAAAAAAUAUUUGGGAGACAUGGUUAGCAGUGCGAUUACACACAACGAUGAGUCUUCCUUCAAAAUAAAAUACAAUAAAAAAAAACAGCGACUGGUGUAAGAUGAAGUGUCCGUGUGGUUUCUUCAUACAAGGCAUCUAUACACUUAGCAAUUUUGAUGAUAGUAAGGGAAAUGUGGUGAAAUCUCUGGACUUAAAUCUACGGGUGGGAGAUGCAUCCAACAACCACUGAGCCAGAGAUGACACAGAAUAAACACGUAAACCGUAGUGUUGUCAUUCACAAACAUCAUAUGCAAAAGACAACAUGUUUUUGAGUCGGCAACCUGAGCAAAAGCUCUCAUGUAUGGUAGUAAACAAUGUGUGGAUAAAAACAUG